AUCAUAUAUCAGUGUGUCAUUUGAUCGAGAGAAUGUCCACAUAGUUUAUGGUUCUUUAUAUUGCUAUCCAAAUAAACCAUAAAUUGUCAUUAACUGUCUAAAUUUACGGCAAAUUUGUUGAUUUUAGAUUAAAAAUAUAUUGUAUGUCUCCAAUGUAUUCGGCAUAGAAAGAAAAGGGUAUUGUCCAUGUACCUUUCUCGGUGAGCAAGUCGACGUCGACUGAGGAAAUUUAAGAACUGGACGUAGUCGCAUACGUAUGAUGUCGAUGGGUAACGGCGAUGCUCGCCAUCAGAUUCCUCCGUACAAACUCCACCGAGUGGUGUGCAAUGAAUGGAGAUCUUGAAGCCAUGUUUCCCGAUUGGACGGUGGAUCGGGUCUGCAAAGAGCUGCCGAAAUGGGAAGUGACAAUGGAGGGUUGAAGAAGACAUGUGAACAUCGUCAAGGCUCUUGCAGAUAAAUACCCUUAUGAGAACUUGCAGCUAGUCACCAAUGGUGAGUACUGUUUCUCAGUUCUCGUUCGGUAUCUUCCUAGUUUCUACCAUCAUGUAUGUUUAUCUCUAUGUUUCUGAAAAACCGGUACAUGUCUUGGUGGAAGCACAUCAUACUUGGUUGUAUAGGGUAUCUUGUCUCCAUCAACUGGUGACCAUCUAACUUGUCUUAACGGAUGAAAUCGCUUCCAACCUUAGUUCUGCUUUGUUCUGUGAACUUAACCCUCCCAUGUCGUUGCUUUGCAACUGGCCCUCUUCUAAGAUAUGUUUCAUGAAACACUGUAGAAGCAAAGGACUCUAGAAUGAACUAUUUGAUAUUUUUCUCCAUCCACCAUCAUGUUUGCAAAAUGCAGGGGAGGAACUGUAUUUUCAGCGUUCCUCAGAGAUGUAACUUUGUAGGAAGCAGAUUACUGUGCAUAUUUCGAGUGGAGAAGACGGGUGUCUAAUGGAGAUGGGUCGCUUGAAGCCGGCAAAUUUGAGGUGAUUACCAG